UGAACGGACUCAUAUUGAAACCUAGUGAUGUAUGAGUUAGUGGCGGACGGGUGAGUAACGCGUGGAGAACCUGCCGUAUACUGGGGGAUAACACUUAGAAAUAGGUGCUAAUACCGCAUAAGCGCACAGCUUCGCAUGAAGCAGUGUGAAAAACUCCGGUGGUAUACGAUGGAUCCGCGUCUGAUUAGCUAGUUGGUGGGGUAAAGGCCCACCAAGGCGACGAUCAGUAGCCGGCCUGAGAGGGUGAACGGCCACAUUGGGACUGAGACACGGCCCAAACUCCUACGGGAGGCAGCAGUGGGGAAUAUUGCACAAUGGGGGAAACCCUGAUGCAGCGACGCCGCGUGAGUGAAGAAGUAUUUCGGUACGUAAAGCUCUAUCAGCAGGGAAGAAAAUGACGGUACCUGACUAAGAAGCCCCGGCUAACUACGUGCCAGCAGCCGCGGUAAUACGUAGGGGGCAAGCGUUAUCCGGAUUUACUGGGUGUAAAGGGAGCGUAGACGGCAGCGCAAGUCUGGAGUGAAAUCCCAUGGCUUAACCAUGGAACUGCUUUGGAAACUGUGCAGCUGGAGUGCAGGAGAGGUAAGCGGAAUUCCUAGUGUAGCGGUGAAAUGCGUAGAUAUUAGGAGGAACACCAGUGGCGAAGGCGGCUUACUGGACUGUAACUGACGUUGAGGCUCGAAAGCGUGGGGAGCAAACAGGAUUAGAUACCCUGGUAGUCCACGCUGUAAACGAUGAUUACUAGGUGUUGGGGGACCAAGGUCCUUCGGUGCCGGCGCAAACGCAUUA
rnacentral:rRNA from 1 species